rnacentral:sRNA from 1 species
UGACUCUUGGUUUUAUUCAUUUGUAUUUUUAUUCUUUUGGAAUAUUUUUGAUGUAAUAUAUGAGACAGGGACCUUACUUUGUUUUUAUUCCAAAUGUCUAUCCAGUUAUUUCAAUACAGUGUAUUGACUAGUCUACCUUUUCCCUGAUUACUUGAAAUAUUACCUUUUUCAUAUGCUAAAUCCUUAAUUCAGUCUUUUUUUCUGGGCUUGUUCAAUUCUUACAGUUUGUUUAUUCCAGCGUCAGUACUACAUGGUUUUAAUUAUUGUUGGUUCUUAAUAUUUUAACAUAAUGAUUUGUUUAAAUGUACUUUUGUAAUACUGAAAUAAUCUGUAUUACAGCGUGAAAUAACUAAGAAGUUGGGCAACCCCAAACAGCCUACAAAUCCUUUCCUGGAAAUGAUCAAGUUUCUCUUGGAGAGGAUAGCACCUGUGCACAUAGAUACCGAAUCUAUCAGUGCUCUUAUUAAACAAGUGAACAAAUCAAUAGAUGGAACAGCAGAUGAUGAAGAUGAGGGUGUUCCAACUGAUCAAGCCAUCAGAGCAGGUCUUGAACUGCUUAAGGUACUCUCAUUUACACAUCCCAUCUCAUUUCAUUCUGCUGAAACAUUUGAAUCAUUACUGGCUUGUCUGAAAAUGGAUGAUGAAAAAGUAGCAGAAGCUGCACUACAAAUUUUCAAAAACACA